GUUGGUAUCCGGUGCUGUGCCGAUGGUGUAUCCCGCUGCUGCACGAAGUCUCCUACCGUCUGAAAGCGGAGCAACUUCGCCGAAGCGUCAGUGCGUAGCUGAAGUUGAGAGCGACGGUGUUGAUCUUUUCGAGGAGACGACCAUGGAAGAGAGAUCUUCGAGCACAGCACUUGGUCAUCACUCCAACACGUUAUCACCACCAUGUGGAGCCACAGCAGGGAUUGGGUGCAAUACAUGCGACUCCCAGACUCAGUGCUCUGUGCAACUGUCACUGAAG